GAUGAACGCUAGCUACAGGCUUAACACAUGCAAGUCGUGGGGCAUCAUGAUGUAGUAAUACAUUGAUGGCGACCGGCGCACGGGUGAGUAACGCGUAUCCAACCUACCCUCCACUCAAGUAUAGGCUUCCGAAAGGGAGAUUAAUCCUUGAUAUCGUCAUUCUCUCUCCUGUUAGAAUGAUAAAAGGACAUCGUUUCGGUAGAGGAUGGGGAUGCGUUCCAUUAGGUAGUAGGUGGUUUAACAGGCCACCUAGCCGAUGAUGGAUAGGGGUUCUGAGAGGAAUAUCCCCCACACUGGUACUGAGAUACGGACCAGACUCCUACGGGAGGCAGCAGUGAGGAAUAUUGGUCAAUGGGCGCAAGCCUGAACCAGCCAUGUAGCGUGAAGGAUGACGGUUUUUUUGAUUGUA
rnacentral:rRNA from 1 species